CUACGGGACGCUGCAGUGAGGAAUUUUGCGCAAUGGGCGAAAGCCUGACGCAGCAACGCCGCGUGAGUGACGAAGGCCUUCGGGUCGUAAAGCUCUGUCAAGCGGGAAGAACCCGCGGACGUCCAACAAGCGUCCGCGCUGACGGUACCGCUGAAGGAAGCACCGGCUAACUCCGUGCCAGCAGCCGCGGUAAUACGGAGGGUGCGAGCGUUAUUCGGAAUUAUUGGGCGUAAAGGGCGCGCAGGCGGCCCUGAAAGUCAGAUGUGAAAGCCCGGGGCUCAACCCCGGAAGUGCAUUUGAUACUGCAGGGCUUGAGUAUGGGAGAGGGAAGUGGAAUUCCUGGUGUAGAGGUGAAAUUCGUAGAUAUCAGGAGGAACACCGGUGGCGAAGGCGACUUCCUGGACCAAUACUGACGCUGAGGCGCGAAGGCGUGGGGAGCAAACAGGAUUAGAUACCCGCGUAGUC
rnacentral:rRNA from 1 species